rnacentral:misc_RNA from 1 species
AAGUCGUAACAAGGUUUCCGUAGGUGAACCUGCCCAACGUUAAACAACCCUGUGAACUUUAAGUCCCCUCUUGCAGCCCAUGAGGAACAGCAAUCCCGGUAAAUCAUUGCCAAACAGUUUUGAUUCGGGACCUCUGUCCAAAAGGAGUUGCAAUCGAAGGGUGGAAGCAGUGGCAUGGCUUCCCCAAGCAGUUAGUGAAUGACAGUGUCACUGACUGUGUAAGGAUAACGCCUCACGGUUGCUAGAGGUCGAUCACCGACCGGCAGACAUGUCACAGGGUCACCACGCCCCUUAAUCACUCCACUUGAAAAUGCCCCGCCUAGUGGUAACGCGCUAGGUAAAAAAAACCGAACAACUGUUAACAAUGGAUAUCUUGGUUCUC